rnacentral:rRNA from 1 species
UUGGAGGGCAAGUCUGGUGCCAGCAGCCGCGGUAAUUCCAGCUCCAAUAGCGUAUAUUAAAGUUGUUGCAGUUAAAAAGCUCGUAGUUGAAUUUCGGGGUCAGCAGGUUGGUCGUGCCACUGGUAUGAACUGGCCUUGCUGAUUCCUCCUUCUUGAAGAACCGUGAUGCCAUUAAUUUGGUGUUGCGGGGAAACAGGACUGUUACUUUGAAAAAAUUAGAGUGUUUAAGGCAGGCUCACGCUUGAAUACAUUAGCAUGGAAUAAUAAAAUAGGACGUUUAUCCUAUUUUGUUGGUUUCUAGGGUUGACGUAAUGAUUAAUAGGGAUAGUUGGGGGCAUUAGUAUUCAAUUGUCAGAGGUGAAAUUCUUGGAUUUAUUGAAGACUAACUACUGCGAAAGCAUUUGCCAAGGAUGUUUUCAUUAAUCAAGAACGAAAGUUAGGGGAUCGAAGACGAUCAGAUACCGUCGUAGUCUUAACCAUAAACUAUGCCGACUAGGGAUCGGAUGACGUUAAUUUUUUAAUGACUCAUUCGGCGCCUUACGGGAAAC